rnacentral:rRNA from 1 species
GACGAGCCACACGAACGUUAUUCGGAAUUACUGGGCUUAAAGGGUGCGUAGGCGGUGCGGAAAGUUGGGUGUGAAAUCCCUCGGCUCAACCGAGGAACUGCGCUCAAAACUACCGUGCUUGAGGGAGAUAGAGGUGAGCGGAACUUAGGGUGGAGCGGUGAAAUGCGUUGAUAUCCUAAGGAACACCCGUGGCGAAAGCGGCUCACUGGGUCUUCUCUGACGCUGAGGCACGAAAGCUAGGGUAGCGAACGGG